CACGUAGGGCGCAAGCGUUGUCCGGAAUUAUUGGGCGUAAAGAGCUCGUAGGCGGUCUGUUGCGUCUGCUGUGAAAACUCGGGGCUUAACCCCGAGCCUGCAGUGGAUACGGGCAGACUAGAGGUAGGUAGGGGAGAAUGGAAUUCCCGGUGUAGCGGUGAAAUGCGCAGAUAUCGGGAGGAACACCGGCGGCGAAGGCGGUUCUCUGGGCCUUACCUGACGCUGAGGAGCGAAAGCGUGGGGAGCGAACAGG
rnacentral:rRNA from 1 species